GGCAAGCCCACUUGGUUCAGGGUGCAUUGGGGCUAGGUGGUGGAGUUCCACAUCUGUCAUUGAACUUCUUGCAGCACCCCUGGUACACAAGGGUUGUGACGGGGCCGCGGAGAGAAACUGGAAACAGAGGAAGCUGGAAACAGAGGAAGCUGAUGCAGCCGCUUAUAGAAAAACAAGGCAGCGUUUAGUUUAAAAGAGCCCUUUCGUUUCUGUGAGGAUCAAAGCACCUGUGGGAGGAGGAGGGGUCAAGUUUGAGCAGGAACAGAAGAUGAGGCACCAGAUGGCAGAAGCAAGCAAACUACAUCAACAAGACACCUAAGAAGAAAAAGCCACAAUACAGCAUCAAGGAGCAGCAAAUAUCCAGCCCAGCACUGCUUGUGAAUAGGACUUCACUGAGACUUCAGCAUCAAUGAUUUCUAAGCAUCUGGCUGUGGGAGGAGUUAUGACAUCUGUACACCUGCCAGACAUGGUCUAUUUUAUCUUCAAAAGAUAUUUUCGAAUGGAAAGAAGGAUUAAAUUUUUUGCCAAAUUUGGGACCAGGAAGAAAUUUCCACCUCAUUCCCAUGGCUUGGAUUGUGGUUGGUCCUUUCACUUCCUCGGGAUCAACAAAGAUGGGAUCAUCAGGGAAUAUGUCUUGAUUUGAGAGGCAUGGGCUAUUAUAAUCCUAAGCAGG